UACGUAGGGUGCAAGCGUUAAUCGGAAUUACUGGGCGUAAAGCGUGCGCAGGCGGUUGUGCAAGACAGAUGUGAAAUCCCCGGGCUUAACCUGGGAACUGCAUUUGUGACUGCAUGGCUAGAGUGCGGCAGAGGGGGAUGGAAUUCCGCGUGUAGCAGUGAGAUGCGUAGAUAUGCGGAGGAACACCGAUGGCGAAGGCAAUCCCCUGGGCCUGCACUGACGCUCAUGCACGAAAGCGUGGGGAGCAAACAGG
rnacentral:rRNA from 1 species